rnacentral:lncRNA from 1 species
AUGUACACACUUCAUAAAGCAAAGGACACAGUGCAAAUGUCCCAUCAGCCUUACGCUGGGGAAGCGCAAAGGGGUAUCGUCAGGCGGGCGAGAUCAUUUCCUCCACCGGUUGAUCUAGAAGUUAACAACUUUCUCCUGCAGCCCGGCCGCCGAAUCCUCUCUUGUAAAGUUCAGUUCAGAAAACAGGGGGUUCGGGGCAAUCCCAGCCAGGGGAAAAGCACUUCCGACGGGGAGCCUCUGGCACCGCGCCCCCGGAGAACCCGUCUCCUCCAACGGGGGCUCCCCGGGGCGCGGGCAGCCUUCCGGGGAGGCGCCGGCUCUCGCCCCCACAGGCUGAAGCGGGAAGGACUCUCCGCGCCCUCCCCCGCGCCCCUGCUCGCACCCCCCCCCCACCCUCCCCCACCCCUCCGUCCCGGCCCGCCCGGCGCCUCGCUCCCGCGUACUCACUGGGGGCCGCCGCCCGCCGGCUGGGCCGCCGCCGCCUCCGGCACCCCCUCCAUCCCGCGGCGCGGCCCUGCUCCGGCCCUCUGCCCUCCGGCCCCGCCGUGCGGUGUGGGGUGCGGGCCGCCGCCUGCCUGCGGGGUCCGAGGGCCAAGCGGGCGCGGCCCGGGCUGGAAGGAAGCGGCAUGGGCUGCCAGGUCCCGGCUCUGCCCGCGCGGAGAGAGGCCGAGCCGGGCGCGCCCCGGGCCGGGAGCGGAGAGAGGGAGCGCGGAGGGCAGAAAGGCGGGGCGGCGGAAGGGGCUGGAGGAGCGGGACCGGGCCCCCACCCAGGCCUCCGCCGCCCUCCGCUCGCCUCCUUCUCGCGGCCGCGGCGGCGGGGCGUCCCAAGGGCGGGAGGACGAGCGGGGCCCGGGCGCCGGGGGACCGACCCCUUGGCGCGGGGCCGGGCCAGGCUUCGGGGCGUGCGCAGCGGGGGACGCGGCUCCACGCGGGCGAGGGCCAGGAAGACCUCGCGUUCCUCCCCGGCUCCCCGGGGAAGCGUGCAACUCCACACCCGGGGCUUGGGGAGCAGGCUCGGCUGUCCCGGGGGAAGCUAAGGAAUGCCCUUUGUUUAGACAACUUUUCCCGAGGUCUCGGUCCGCCCUCCCCGAGGUGCCCUUUCCAGACGCUCGCGGGUACCCGGAGUGGAGGCGGGCUCCCUCAUCCUGCCCGGUCAGGGGGAGAGCCUGGUCCCUGCGUUGCCAGCCCCUGGGAUAG